UACUAUUGCUUUCUAAUAUCGUGAUGAGAUACCUUGUAUGCUCGUGAGGAGAGUCCUCUAUGAGUACAUGAUAGUUGCCAUGAUCCUUGGCUCGUGAUCUCGGAUUAGGGGCGUGACUGGCAAAUUACUAGGCACGACAAAUCCUUCUUGAUAGUGGAAACUCAAUGGAUAUGCUAUUCCAUGAGAUUCUUGAGAAGAUGA
rnacentral:lncRNA from 1 species